rnacentral:rRNA from 14 species
UCGGAUCGUAAAGCUCUGUUGUAAGAGAAGAACGAGUGUGAGAGUGGAAAGUUCACACUGUGACGGUAUCUUACCAGAAAGGGACGGCUAACUACGUGCCAGCAGCCGCGGUAAUACGUAGGUGGCAAGCGUUAUCCGGAAUUAUUGGGCGUAAAGCGCGCGUAGGCGGUUUUUUAAGUCUGAUGUGAAAGCCCACGGCUCAACCGUGGAGGGUCAUUGGAAACUGGAAAACUUGAGUGCAGAAGAGGAAAGUGGAAUUCCAUGUGUAGCGGUGAAAUGCGCAGAGAUAUGGAGGAACACCAGUGGCGAAGGCGACUUUCUGGUCUGUAACUGACGCUGAUGUGCGAAAGCGUGGGGAUCAAACAGGAUUAGAUACCCUGGUAGUCCACGCCGUAAAC